GCAAUGAUAGAAAAGUAACAAGACACCAUGCUACAAAGAGGAAUAGUUUACUACACCCAGGCUUAUUUUUUGUCUCAGCCUUCUGUCCCUCUACAAUGGUCCCUGUCUGAAGGAUACCAGACGCCCUCAGGACAGCACACUGGCCCUGCCUCCUCUUAUCCAUCCUCUCCACUGCAACCAGUGAGACCAUCCCAGUCACCAGUAGGAUACUCAGCUCUGGUGAGAAAAUGGAUGCUCCAUGAGCCUAGGAGGAUAAAUAAUUUGCCCAGUGGAGCACAGCUGAUAUCUAGGAGAAAGGGGAUUUGAAUCCAGGUAUGUAAUGGACAAUGUAUGACAUUUCCACUAUAGCAGAACAAAUUCAAUAAAAAUUCAUUGUAUCUACCUGGAUCCAUCACACACAUUCAGUAAACUUCUCUUAUGUAAAAGUGUCAGGCUAUACAGGUUAUGUAGGGAGAAGAGAGUGGAAAAUAAAUGGCGCCUUCCCAGAAGAAAUUUCUUCAUCUCACAGGAAGCUAAAACCAGAUAGUUCAUAAAUUAAAGUGGAAAUUCAGGAAGUUCAAGGGACACUCUGAAAGCUCUUUACCUGCCUACUGAAGAAGCUCCAUAACAGUGUUAUGAACUUGGACUCUGAUAACCCUAGGUAAGUUUUGCUCUUCUUCUCAUUUUUUGUUUUUAGUCAGAGAAUGAAGGUAGUCAUAGUACCUCUUGUAUGGGCUUGCUGUGAAGGUAAAAUGGAUUGAUACAUGUAAUAUACUUAGAACAGUGGAGGCAUGUAACUCAUAAAGGUUAGUUUUUGUGUAUAUUGGCUGUCUAUUGUGGUAAAAAACAAACAAACCUGAGGUGAGGCAACUUAUAAGGAGAAAAGGUUUGUUCUGACUUACAUUUUUGUAGGGUUUAGUCCGUAACACACCGGCCUCAUUGCUUUGGCCCUGAGGCAGCAGAUCCUGGUGGGAGAACAUGUGGUACAGCAAAGCCACUCACCUCAUGCACCAGACAUGAAGGAGACAGGAAGAAGAGGAG
ensembl:lncRNA